rnacentral:rRNA from 1 species
AUUGAACGCUGGCGGCAGGCUUAACACAUGCAAGUCGAGCGGGGGAAGGUAGCUUGCUACCGGACCUAGCGGCGGACGGGUGAGUAAUGCUUAGGAAUCUGCCUAUUAGUGGGGGACAACAUCUCGAAAGGGAUGCUAAUACCGCAUACGUCCUACGGGAGAAAGCAGGGGAUCUUCGGACCUUGCGCUAAUAGAUGAGCCUAAGUCGGAUUAGCUAGUUGGUGGGGUAAAGGCCUACCAAGGCGACGAUCUGUAGCGGGUCUGAGAGGAUGAUCCGCCACACUGUGACUGGAACACGGCCCAGACUCCUACGGGAGGCAGCAGUGGGGAAUAUUGGACAAUGGGGGGAACCCUGAUCCAGCCAUGCCGCGUGUGUGAAGAAGGCCUUAUGGUUGUAAAGCACUUUAAGCGAGGAGGAGGCUACUCUAGUUAAUACCUAGGGAUAGUGGACGUUACUCGCAGAAUAAGCACCGGCUAACUCUGUGCCAGCAGCCGCGGUAA